rnacentral:rRNA from 1 species
GCGUGAGUGAAGAAGGCCCUAGGGUUGUAAAACUCUUUCAGUAGUGAAGAUGAUGACGGUAACUACAAAAGAAGCACCGGCUAACUUCGUGCCAGCAGCCGCGGUAAUACGAAGGGUGCUAGCGUUGUUCGGAAUUACUGGGCGUAAAGAGCAUGUAGGCGGAUUGAUCAGUCAGAGGUGAAAGCCCCGAGCUCAACUCGGGAACUGCCUUUGAUACUGUUAGUCUAGAGUCCGAGAGAGGUGAGUGGAAUUCCCAGUGUAGAGGUGAAAUUCGU